GUAAUUCGUUGUAGGCCCCAUUUGAACCCUCCCUCCCCUUUCGCCCGCGCUGCAGGAAAUGGACGCCUUACUCCCCCUGCCUCGCGUGAGCAGUGGUACAGCCCGCCCACCUCUCGCGAGAGCAGUGGUGCGGACAGCCCCCCGCCGUAGGGUGGUACAUCCUGAGCCCUUAUAAGCGGCGGCCGCGAUUCUUCCCGCCCUUUCUCCUCGUGCGGCAGGUGGGGUUUGGUGUUAUGGUGGCUCUCGGUAGAGCUGCGGUGAGGGCCCCCAUCCCCCGGGCAGCGGUGGUGCACGCCGUGCCUCCUCGUCCCCCAAGGGCUAUAGGCCCGACCGCUCGAGGUGGCAGUUGAGGGAGAUGAAGGAGAGCUGGCCUCGCUCCUCCCGUCCCCGCAGGCCCUUAUGGAGGCGGAUGGCGGUACCGCGCCCGGCCGGGAGUGCGCAGGCAGCGCUGGAACGGCCCUGCGGUCCGUCCUGAGAUCGACUGCUGAGGAGUACUGCUUUAAUGCUUGUUUGGUGUCUAUUCCCCCAGCGGAACGAUGCCCUGAAGCAAAGAAAGCUGGGAUUUGCAGAUGAUGUGAUACAAUAAGGAGUGGGAGCAGGCAUCUGUCUGGAGAUGGCCAUAAUGUGAAGCCCUUCAGAAGGCCUUGGGACAGAAGUGAGACUGCAAGGGCAAGAGAUUGUUCUGGAAAUGCAUCAAUAUAUCUGAGGAUAUCAUAUGAUGAAACUAACCAAAAAUUGCUGGAAUUACCGGCAGAUUGACUGGUGGUGUUGAUGCUGAAAGCACAUUUGUUUGAGGAAGAAGGAACCCAAUGGAACAUGAGUGAGCUUGGCAACUGACCUUUGUAAACGUCACCUGUUUUUCUGUGCGUAGACUUGUAAGAUAAGAGGAUGUUUACACUGUUCUGAUAUACAUUAAAGUUCUAAAAAACC
ensembl:lncRNA